CGCGUAGGCGGUUUUUUAAGUCAGAUGUGUAAUCCCCGAGCUUAACUUGGGAACUGCAUCUGAGACUGGAAGGCUAGAGUACUGGAGAGGGUGGUGGAAUUCCUCGUGUAGCGGUGAAAUGCGUAGAGAUGAGGAGGAACACCAGUGGCGAAGGCGGCCACCUGGACAGUAACUGACGCUGAGGCGCGAAAGUGUGGGUAGCAAACAGGAUUAGAUACCCUGGUAGUCCACGCUGUAAAUGAUGAACACUUGGUGUGGAGGGAGUUGACCCCUUCCGUGCCGGAGCUAACGCGUUAAGUGUUCCGCCUGGGGAGUACGGUCGCAAGGCUGAA
rnacentral:rRNA from 1 species